UACGGAGGGGGUUAGCGUUGUUCGGAAUUACUGGGCGUAAAGCGCUCGUAGGCGGAUUGACAAGUUGGGGGUGAAAUCCCGGGGCUCAACCCCGGAACUGCCUCCAAAACUGUCAGUCUUGAGUUCGAGAGAGGUGAGUGGAAUUCCGAGUGUAGAGGUGAAAUUCGUAGAUAUUCGGAGGAACACCAGUGGCGAAGGCGGCUCACUGGCUCGAUACUGACGCUGAGGUGCGAAAGCGUGGGGAGCAAACAGG
rnacentral:rRNA from 1 species